rnacentral:lncRNA from 1 species
GCUCCAGCCCUGGGCUCACCAUUCUCUGUCUGCAGCUUGGCCCGCUGGCUGGUGAGGUCAUUGACAGAACGCUGCGUCUCCUCGGCCUUGCUCCGGUGCUCAUUCAUCUGGUCUUCCAAGGUCCGGCACAUCUUCUCCAGCUUCUGCUUCACCCGCUGGAGGUUGUCGAUCUGCUCGCCCAGCUCCGCCACGCUGUCGGCAUGCUUCUUGCGCAGGGCCGCCGCCGUGGCCUCGUGCUGCAGCGUGGCCUCCUCCAGGUCCCGCCGCAUCUUCUGGAACUCGGCCUCGCGCUUCUUGUUCAUCUCUAUCUGCACGGAUGUGGCCCCGCCUGCCUCCUCCAGCCUUUCACUGAUCUCCUCCAGCUCCCGGGACAGGUCAGAGCGCAGCUUCUCCACCUUGGCCCGGGCUGUGCGCUCGGCCUCCAGCUCCUCCUCCAGCUCCUCGAUGCGUGCCUAGCCAGGGACACAGAGGGUCAGACCUGCUUCCUGCACCCCUCCAUUGAGGCCGGC